AGGAUCAUUAUCGAGUUAGACCGGGAAGGGGUUUCCUCGGACUCCCCUUCCUAGUUUUCCUUAUUUCACCUGUGCACCCUUUGUAGGCCCUCGAGAGAGGAUCUACGUUUUCUAUAAUCUACUCUAUCGCAUGUCCAGAACGUAUACAUACAAACUUUUACAACUUUCAGCAACGGAUCUCUUGGCUCUCGCAUCGAUGAAGAACGCAGCGAAUUGCGAUAAGUAAUGUGAAUUGCAGAUUUUCAGUGAAUCAUCGAAUCUUUGAACGCACCUUGCGCUCCUUGGUAUUCCGAGGAGCAUGCCUGUUUGAGUGUCAUGGAAUUCUCAACCAUGUCUCGAUCUGAUCUUCUGAUCUCGAGGCAUGGCUUGGACUUGGGAGUUGCUGGCGGGCCUCGUCAGCUCUCCUCAAACACAUUAGCGACGUUCAGCAAGCCUGGCGUGCACGGCCUUUUUUUCGACGUGAUAACGAUCGUCGUGGGCUGGAGCGUAGGGCGAGCGGUGAAUCGCUUCCAACUCCUUAGACUUUUGGUCCUUCAUCGAGAAACAGACUCGAGCCCUAAGCCUCAGUUACUAGUCACCGACGAACGCGAGGCCCCAAGUUCGAAAUUUCACUUUGAAAAGGGAUCAAUCAAUGGUCUUUUCGAUCUCGAUCUCGACGGGGGGAAACUUUUGACCUUCGAGAGACCCAAGCCUUAGUUACUAGUCGGUCGUGAGGCCAACGAACGCGCAGGGCCUAGGUUUGAAACUUUGAAGCAAUCGCAAUUCUCUCUAUCUCGAUCCAGGAUCAUUUGAACUCUUGACCUCAAAUCAGGUAGGACUACCCGCUGAACUUAAGCAUAUCAAUAAGCGGAGGAAAAGAAACUAACAAGGAUUCCCCUAGUAACUGCGAGUGAAGCGGGAAAAGCUCAAAUUUUGAAUCUGG
rnacentral:rRNA from 1 species